GAUGAACGCUGGCGGCGUGCCUAACACAUGCAAGUCGAGCGGGAUCUUGCUAAAUGACGCUUCGGUUGAUUUUAGUAAGUGAGAGCGGCGGACGGGUGAGUAACGCGUGAGCAACUUGCCCUUGCGUGGGGGAUAACGUUUGGAAACGAACGCUAAUACCGCAUAAUGUAUCUUUAUUGCAUGGUGAAGAUACCAAAGAUUUAUUGCGCAAGGAUGGGCUCGCGUCUGAUUAGGUAGUUGGUGGGGUAACGGCUCACCAAGCCGACGAUCAGUAGCCGGACUGAGAGGUUGAACGGCCACAUUGGGACUGAGACACGGCCCAGACUCCUACGGGAGGCAGCAGUGAGGAAUAUUGGGCAAUGGGCGCAAGCCUGACCCAGCAAUGCCGCGUGAAGGAAGACGGUUUUCGGAUUGUAAACUUCUUUUAAGAGGGACGAUAAUGACGGUACCUCUUGAAUAAGCCACGGCUAACUACGUG
rnacentral:rRNA from 1 species